rnacentral:rRNA from 1 species
UGGGGAAUAUUGGACAAUGGGCGCAAGCCUGAUCCAGCCAUGCCGCGUGCGGGAAGAAGGCCUUCGGGUUGUAAACCGCUUUUGUCAGGGAAGAAACGCUCUGGGCUAAUACCCUGGGGUAAUGACGGUACCUGAAGAAUAAGCACCGGCUAACUACGUGCCAGCAGCCGCGGUAAUACGUAGGGUGCAAGCGUUAAUCGGAAUUACUGGGCGUAAAGCGUGCGCAGGCGGUUAUGCAAGACAGAUGUGAAAUCCCCGGGCUCAACCUGGGAACUGCAUUUGUGACUGUAUAGCUAGAGUACGGUAGAGGGGGAUGGAAUUCCGCGUGUAGCAGUGAAAUGCGUAGAUAUGCGGAGGAACACCGAUGGCGAAAGCGGCUCUCUGGCUUGUAACUGACGCUGAGGCUCGAAAGCGUGGGGAGCGAAACAGGAUUAGAUACCCUAGUAGUCCCUGAGCGGGCUGGCAAGGCGCAU